GGACUACUAGGGUAUCUAAUCCCAUUUGCUCCCCUGGCUUUCGUUCCUCAGCGUCAGUUAUGGCCCAGCUAGUCGCCUACGCCACUGGUGUUCUUCCUAAUAUCUACGCAUUUCACCGCUACACUAGGAAUUCCACUAGCCUCUACCACACUCCAGUCUGGCAGUAUCCAAUGCACUUCCGAAGUUGAGCCUCGGUCUUUAACAUCAGACUUACCAAACCGCCUACGAACUCUUUACGCCCAAUAAAUCCGGACAACGCUCGCAUCCUACGUCUUACCGCGGCUGCUGGCAC
rnacentral:rRNA from 1 species